AACGAACGCUGGCGGCAUGCCUAACACAUGCAAGUCGAACGAGACCUUCGGGUCUAGUGGCGCACGGGUGCGUAACGCGUGGGAACCUGCCUUUAGGUUCGGAAUAACUCAGAGAAAUUUGAGCUAAUACCGGAUAAUGUCUUCGGACCAAAGAUUUAUCGCCUUUAGAUGGGCCCGCGUUGGAUUAGCUAGUUGGUGGGGUAAAGGCCUACCAAGGCGACGAUCCAUAGCUGGUCUGAGAGGAUGAUCAGCCACACUGGGACUGAGACACGGCCCAGACUCCUACGGGAGGCAGCAGUGGGGAAUAUUGGACAAUGGGCGAAAGCCUGAUCCAGCAAUGCCGCGUGAGUGGAUGAAGCCUUAGGGUUGUAAGCUCUUUUACCCGAGAUGAUAAUGACAGUAUCGGGAGAA
rnacentral:rRNA from 1 species